UACAGAGGUCUCAAGCGUUGUUCGGAUUCAUUGGGCGUAAAGGGUGUGUAGGUGGCGCCGUUAGUCGGGUGUGAAAUUUCGGAGCUUAACUCCGAAACUGCAUUCGAUACUGCGGUGCUUGAGGACUGGAGAGGAGACUGGAAUUUACGGUGUAGCGGUGAAAUGCGUAGAUAUCAGGAGGAACACCGGUGGCGAAGGCGGUUCUCUGGGCAUGUCCUGACGCUGAGGAGCGAAAGUGUGGGGAGCGAACAGG
rnacentral:rRNA from 1 species